GAUGAACGCUGGCGGCGUGCCUAAUACAUGCAAGUCGAGCGAACGGACGAGAAGCUUGCUUUUCUGAUGUUAGCGGCGGACGGGUGAGUAACACGUGGAUAACCUACCUAUAAGACUGGGAUAACUUCGGGAAACCGGAGCUAAUACCGGAUAAUAUUUUGAACCGCAUGGUUCAAAAGUGAAAGACGGUCUUGCUGUCACUUAUAGAUGGAUCCGCGCUGCAUUAGCUAGUUGGUAAGGUAACGGCUUACCAAGGCAACGAUGCAUAGCCGACCUGAGAGGGUGAUCGGCCACACUGGAACUGAGACACGGUCCAGACUCCUACGGGAGGCAGCAGUAGGGAAUCUUCCGCAAAGGGCGAAAGCCUGACGGAGCAACGCCGCGUGAGUGAUGAAGGUCUUCGGAUCGUAAAACUCUGUUAUUAGGGAAGACCAUAUGUGUAAGUAACUGUGCACAUCUUGACGGUACCUAAUCAGAAAGCCACGGCUAACUACGUG
rnacentral:rRNA from 1 species